UACGUAGGGGGCAAGCGUUGUCCGGAAUCAUUGGGCGUAAAGCGCGUGUAGGCGGCUCGGUAAGUCUGCUCUGAAAGCCCGGGGCUCAACCCCGGGAGGCGGGUGGAUACUGUCAAGCUCGAGUCCGGUAGGGGAGUGUGGAAUUCCCGGUGUAGCGGUGAAAUGCGCAGAUAUCGGGAGGAACACCAGUAGCGAAGGCGGCACUCUGGGCCGGUACUGACGCUGAGGAGCGAAAGCGUGGGGAGCGAACAGG
rnacentral:rRNA from 1 species